rnacentral:ncRNA from 1 species
AGACCUCUGAUCAGGAAAGACUACCCGCUGAGUUUAAGCAUAUCACUAAGCGGAGGAGAAGAAACUAACCAGGAUUUCCCUAGUAACGGCGAGCGAACCGGAAAGAGCCCAGCUUGAAAAUCGAGGUGCUUCGCACCUCGAAUUGUAGUCUGGAGAAGCGUCCUCUGCAGCGUGCCGGCCCCAAGUUCCCUGGAAUGGGAUGCCCAAGAGGGUGACAGCCCCGUCGAGGCCGGUUUUUUAUUGCUGCUCCACGAGGCGCGAUCUGCGAGUCGGGCUGUUUGGGAAUGCAGCCCUAAGUGGGAGGUAAAUUCCUUCUAAGGCUAAAUAUUGGCAAGAGACCGAUAGCGAACAAGUACCGCGAGGGAAAGAUGAAAAGGACUUUGAAAAGAGAGUUAAACAGUGCUUGAAAUUGCUGGGAGGGAAGCGAAUGGAAGCUGCGGGUGUGCCCCGGUUGGAUGUGGAACGGCUUCGGCUGGUCUGCCGCUCAACGCGGGGCACUGGUCAGCGUGGGCUACUUCGGCGGGACAAGAGCAGGAUGUAGUUUCCUGCCCCCCAUGCCGCCGAGGUGGCCGAGGAACGAAGCGUGCGGCCCCCUCUCGGGGGGGUCGUGGGACUCGUCCCAACUGCACGCUCGGGACGCUGGCGUAUUGAGCUCUUCAUCCGACCCGUCCUUGAAACACGGACCAAGGAGUCUAACAUGUAUGCAAGCAGGUGGGCGGCAAACCCAUUGAUGCGCAAGUAAACUGACAGGUGGGACCCCCGUAAAAAAGGGUGCACCAUCGACCGACCGUGAUCUUCUGUGAAAGGUUUGAGUGUGAGCAUACCUGUUGGGACCCGAAAGAUGGUGAACUAUGCCUGAGCAGGGCGAAGCCAGAGGAAACUCUGGUGGAGGCUCGUAGCGAUACUGACGUGCAAAUCGUUCGUCAGACUUGGGUAUAGGGGCGAAAGACUAAUCGAACCAUCUAGUAGCUGGUUCCCUCCGAAGUUUCCCUCAGGAUAGCUGGAGCUCGUGUAAGAGUUUUAUCAGGUAAAGCGAAUGAUUAGAGGCAUCGGGGGUGUAACACCCUCGACCUAUUCUCAAACUUUAAAUAGGUAAGCCGCCGGGGUUGCUUGGUUGAACCCCGGCACAGAAUGAGAGCUCCAAGUGGGCCAUUUUUGGUAAGCAGAACUGGCGAUGCGGGAUGAACCGAAAGCCGGGUUACGGUGCCAAAUUGCGCGCUAACCUAGAUCCCACAAAGGGUGUUGAUUGAUUAAGACAGCAGGACGGUGGUCAUGGAAGUCGAAAUCCGCUAAGGAGUGUGUAACAACUCACCUGCCGAAUCAACUAGCCCCGAAAAUGGAUGGCGCUUAAGCGCGCAACCUACACCCNNNNNNNNNNNNNNNNNNNNNNNNNNNNNNNNNNNNNNNNNNNNNNNNNNCGGAACCCCCCGAUCAGCCAAAGCGGGUCGGGGGGCCUUGGUUCAACGAGGGUUACUCCAUAUGCUAGCCUAUGUCAAUAUAAGGUGCGGGUUAGCCGUUUGUCCCCCACCGGACUAUUGCUUAAGAAGUGGACUAUCGACCCCCCUCUCCGUCAAAGGUUUGGGGGCCAGGGCUUAGAAUGUACUUCAGGUGGUGCGGAGGUAGGAGGCGAGAGGUGGAUGAAAUCGAUCGGAUGAGGUGAUGGAGGGGUCAACUUCGCAGGAAGUUCUGGGGGGUUUGUUCCAGCCGGAUGUUGGGAGAGAGAUACAGGCCAUAUAAUACUAGUUCGGUACCAUCGAACGGGUUUUCGUGGCUAGGCUCUCUUGGCGUUCGGAGGGGACCUCAAAGGACGGAUAGCACAAUUCAAUCAGCUCCAAGUAGUUUUUCCGGGAAACAGACGCGGCGCAGUAAGGGGUGCGUAUUAUGUUUCAAUGUUUGUUGUAGAUCACGACGGGAUCCAUGGAAGGGUGGGGUUCGGCAUUUCCUGCAAGGCACCGGAAAGCUAGUAGCGAGGCGGAGCCCCUCCAACCGGAGGGGACUUCUCUGGAGGUGAUACCUCAUCAUGUUAGUCAGCCUGGGGUUGUCCGUCGAGCGGGUCGCGAACUUGGGGGUCGGAGGGGGGGGGGAGGUUGGGGUGUCCAUCUUCCUUAUCUCGUCCACUGCCAUUCACAGGCACAGCAUUAGUCAGCAUUUCUUCGGAUGGUGGACCAUGCACAGGGCAAGAAAAGGGCCCCUUGGGCUUCAUAUCCAGUCCAGGAGGUNNNNNNNNNNNNNNNNNNNNNNNNNNNNNNNNNNNNNNNNNNNNNNNNNNGCGGCAAACCCAUUGAUGCGCAAGUAAACUGACAGGUGGGACCCCCGUAAAAAAGGGUGCACCAUCGACCGACCGUGAUCUUCUGUGAAAGGUUUGAGUGUGAGCAUACCUGUUGGGACCCGAAAGAUGGUGAACUAUGCCUGAGCAGGGCGAAGCCAGAGGAAACUCUGGUGGAGGCUCGUAGCGAUACUGACGUGCAAAUCGUUCGUCAGACUUGGGUAUAGGGGCGAAAGACUAAUCGAACCAUCUAGUAGCUGGUUCCCUCCGAAGUUUCCCUCAGGAUAGCUGGAGCUCGUGUAAGAGUUUUAUCAGGUAAAGCGAAUGAUUAGAGGCAUCGGGGGUGUAACACCCUCGACCUAUUCUCAAACUUUAAAUAGGUAAGCCGCCGGGGUUGCUUGGUUGAACCCCGGCACAGAAUGAGAGCUCCAAGUGGGCCAUUUUUGGUAAGCAGAACUGGCGAUGCGGGAUGAACCGAAAGCCGGGUUACGGUGCCAAAUUGCGCGCUAACCUAGAUCCCACAAAGGGUGUUGAUUGAUUAAGACAGCAGGACGGUGGUCAUGGAAGUCGAAAUCCGCUAAGGAGUGUGUAACAACUCACCUGCCGAAUCAACUAGCCCCGAAAAUGGAUGGCGCUUAAGCGCGCAACCUACACCCGGCCAUUGGGGCGAGUGCGAGGCUUCAAUGAGUAGGAGGGCGUGGGGGUCGUGGAGCAGCUUUGGGCGUGAGCCCGAGUGAAACGGCCCCUAGUGCAGAUCUUGGUGGUAGUAGCAAAUAUUCAAAUGAGAACUUUGAAGACUGAAGUGGAGAAAGGUUCCAUGUGAACAGCAAUGGACAGGGUUAGUCGAUCCUAGAGAUGGGNNNNNNNNNNNNNNNNNNNNNNNNNNNNNNNNNNNNNNNNNNNNNNNNNNAUUGACGUGAUGCGGUCAUACCAAGGCUACUACACCAGAUCCCAUCAGAACUCUGAAGUUAAGCGCCUUUGGGCCGGAAUAGU